rnacentral:rRNA from 1 species
AUUAGAUGUGACGUUAGCAACAGAAGAAGCACCGGCUAACUCCGUGCCAGCAGCCGCGGUAAUACGGAGGGUGCAAGCGUUGUCCGGAUUUAUUGGGUUUAAAGGGUGCGUAGGCGGGCGUGUAAGUCAGUGGUGAAAUCCUGCGGCUCAACCGUAGACUUGCCAUUGAUACUGCAUGUCUUGAGUAUGUUCGAGGUAUCUGGAAUGCGUAGUGUAGCGGUGAAAUGCAUAGAUAUUACGCAGAACACCAAUUGCGAAGGCAGGGUACUGGGACAUUACUGACGCUGAGGCACGAAAGCGUGGGGAGCAAACAGGAUUAGAUACCCUGGUAGUCCACGCUGUAAACGAUGGAUACUCGGUGUUCGGCCUUCGGGUUGAGUGCCUAAGGGAAACCGAUAAGUAUCCCA